rnacentral:rRNA from 1 species
GAUGAACGCUGGCGGCGUGCUUAAUACAUGCAAGUCGAACGGAGAAUUAGCAAUAGUUCUUAGUGGCGAACGGGUGAGUAACGCGUUGGUGACCUGCCCCGAAGAGGGGGAUAACAGUUCGAAAGGACUGCUAAUACCCCAUGUGGUUGUUGAGGUUAGAGGCUUGGCAACUAAAGGAGAAAUCCGCUUUGGGAGGGGCCUGCGUCCCAUCAGCUAGUUGGUAGGGUAAAAGCCUACCAAGGCGAAGACGGGUAGGGGGCCUGAGAGGGUGACCCCCCACACUGGCACUGAAACACGGGCCAGACACCUACGGGUGGCAG